rnacentral:rRNA from 1 species
GAUGAACGCUGGCGGCGUGCCUAAUACAUGCAAGUCGAGCGAACAGACGAGGAGCUUGCUCCUCUGACGUUAGCGGCGGACGGGUGAGUAACACGUGGAUAACCUACCUAUAAGACUGGGAUAACUUCGGGAAACCGGAGCUAAUACCGGAUAAUAUAUUGAACCGCAGGGUUCAAUAGUGAAAGACGGUUUUGCUGUUACUUAUAGAUGGAUCCGCGCCGCAUUAGCUAGUUGGUAAGGUAACGGCUUACCAAGGCAACGAUGCGUAGCCGACCUGAGAGGGUGAUCGGCCACACUGGAACUGAGACACGGUCCAGACUCCUACGGGAGGCAGCAGUAGGGAAUCUUCCGCAAUGGGCGAAAGCCUGACGGAGCAACGCCGCGUGAGUGAUGAAGGUCUUCGGAUCGUAAAACUCUGUUAUUAGGGAAGAACAAAUGUGUAAGUAACUAUGCACGUCUUGACGGUACCUAAUCAGAAAGCCACGGCUAACUACGUG